rnacentral:rRNA from 1 species
UACGGGAGGUGCAAGCGUUGUUCGGAGUGACUGGGCGUAAAGCGCACGUAGGUGGGCUUGUAAGUCGGACGUGAAAUCCCUGGGCUUAACCUGGGAACUGCAUCCGAAACUACAAGUCUUGAAUGCUUCAGAGGUUGGUAGAAUUCCAGGUGUAGGAGUGAAAUCCGUAGAUAUCUGGAGGAAUACCGGAGGCGAAGGCGGCCAACUGGGGAAUGCAUUGACACUGAGGUGC